UCCACGCCGUAAACGAUGAGUGCUAGACGCCGGCGGAAUUGACCCCGUCGGUGUCGAAGCUAACGCGUUAAGCACUCCGCCUGGGGAGUACGGUCGCAAGACUAAAACUCAAAGGAAUUGACGGGGGCCCGCACAAGCGGUGGAGCAUGUGGUUUAAUUCGACACUACGCGCAGAACCUUACCUGGGUUAAAUCCGCCAGAAUCCGGCCCAAAAGCUGGAGUGCCCUUCGGGG
rnacentral:rRNA from 1 species